GAUGAAGAACGUAGCGAAAUGCGAUAAGUAAUGUGAAUUGCAGAAUUCAGUGAAUCAUCGAAUCUUUGAACGCACAUUGCGCCCGCUAGUAUUCUGGCGGGCAUGCCUGUCCGAGCGUCAUUUCAACCCUCGGGAGCCCCUUUGCGGGGGCUGCCGGUGUUGGGGAUCGCCCGCCGCCAUGGUGGACGUCCCCUAAAACGAUUGGCGGUCUCGCUGUAGCCUCCUCUGCGCAGUAGCACUUGUUCUCGCGGGCGGAGCCCGGCGCGGUCCACUGCCGUAAAACCCCCCAACUUUUUAUAGUUGACCUCGAAUCAGGUAGGACUACCCGCUGAACUUAAGCAUAUCAAUAAGCGGAGGA
rnacentral:misc_RNA from 1 species